CCUAGUACGAGAGGACCGG
rnacentral:rRNA from 1 species